UACGAAGGGGGCUAGCGUUGCUCGGAAUUACUGGGCGUAAAGGGCUCGUAGGCGGCCAACUAAGUCGAACGUGAAAUCCCUGGGCUCAACCCAGGAACUGCGUCCGAUACUGGUUGGCUUGAAUCCGGGAGAGGGACGUGGAAUUCCAGGUGUAGCGGUGAAAUUCGUAGAUAUCGGGAGGAACACCAGUGGCGAAGGCGGCGACCUGGGCCAAUAUUGACGCUGAGGUGCGAAAGCGUGGGGAGCAAACAGG
rnacentral:rRNA from 1 species